rnacentral:rRNA from 1 species
UACGUAGGGGGCUAGCGUUGUCCGGAAUCAUUGGGCGUAAAGCGCGUGUAGGCGGUCCGGUAAGUCCGCUGUGAAAGUCGAGGGCUCAACCCUCGAAUGCCGGUGGAUACUGUCGGGCUAGAGUACGGAAGAGGCGAGUGGAAUUCCUGGUGUAGCGGUGAAAUGCGCAGAUAUCAGGAGGAACACCGGUGGCGAAGGCGGGUCUCUGGGCCGAUACUGACGCUGAGGAGCGAAAGCGUGGGUAGCAAACAGG